rnacentral:rRNA from 1 species
UGGGGAAUUUUGGACAAUGGGCGAAAGCCUGAUCCAGCAAUGCCGCGUGUGUGAAGAAGGCCUUCGGGUUGUAAAGCACUUUUGUCCGGAAAGAAAUCCCUGGCUCUAAUACAGUCGGGGGAUGACGGUACCGGAAGAAUAAGCACCGGCUAACUACGUGCCAGCAGCCGCGGUAAUACGUAGGGUGCAAGCGUUAAUCGGAAUUACUGGGCGUAAAGCGUGCGCAGGCGGUUUGCUAAGACCGAUGUGAAAUCCCCGGGCUCAACCUGGGAACUGCAUUGGUGACUGGCAGGCUAGAGUAUGGCAGAGGGGGGUAGAAUUCCACGUGUAGCAGUGAAAUGCGUAGAGAUGUGGAGGAAUACCGAUGGCGAAGGCAGCCCCCUGGGCCAAUACUGACGCUCAUGCACGAAAGCGUGGGGAGCAAACAGGAUUAGAUACCCUGGUAGUCCACGCCCUAAACGAUGUCAACUAGUUGUUGGGGAUUCAUUUCCUUAGUAACGUAGCUAACGCGUGAAGUUGACCGCCUGGGGAGUACGGUCGCAAGAUUAAAACUCAAAUGAAUUGACGGGGUCAUAGCUGUUUCCU